rnacentral:rRNA from 1 species
CAGAGCCGCGGGAAUACAGAGGGUGCGAGCGUUAAUCGGAUUUACUGGGCGUAAAGCGUGCGUAGGUGGUGGUUUAAGUCCGUUGUGAAAGCCCUGGGCUCAACCUGGGAAUUGCAGUGGAUACUGGGUCACUAGAGUGUGGUAGAGGAUAGUGGAAUUUCCGGUGUAGCAGUGAAAUGCGUAGAGAUCGGAAGGAACAUCUGUGGCGAAGGCGACUAUCUGGGCCAACACUGACACUGAGGCACGAAAGCGUGGGGAGCAAACAGGAUUAGAUACCCCUGUAGUCCCUGUCUCUUAUACA